rnacentral:rRNA from 1 species
GACAGAGGGUGCAAACGUUGUUCGGAAUUACUGGGCGUAAAGCGCGUGUAGGCGGCUCGGCAAGUCGGGUGUGAAAGCCCUGGGCUUAACCUAGGAAGUGCACUCGAAACUGCCAAGCUUGAGUUCUGGAGAGGAAGGCGGAAUUCUCGGUGUAGAGGUGAAAUUCGUAGAUACCGAGAGGAACACCGGUGGCGAAGGCGGCCUUCUGGACAGCAACUGACGCUGAGACGCGAAAGCGUGGGGAGCAAACAGG